rnacentral:tRNA from 1 species
AGGAGUUUAGGAUAUUUAAACAAACCGGCUGCUUUCAACGCAGCAAAAAAAAGCACUAAGCUUUUAACCCCUG